GACGAACGCUGGCGGCGUGCUUAACACAUGCAAGUCGAGCGGUAAGGCCCUUUCGGGGGUACGACGAGCGGCGAACGGGUGAGUAACACGUGGGUGACCUGCCCUCAGCUCUGGGAUAAGCCUGGGAAACCGGGUCUAAUACUGGAUAUGACUCCAUGACGCAUGUUGUGGGGUGGAAAGCCUUGUGCGGCUGAGGAUGGGCCCGCGGCCUAUCAGCUUGUUGGUGGGGUGAGGCCUACCAAGGCGACGACGGGUAGCCGGCCUGAGAGGGCGACCGGCCACACUGGGACUGAGACACGGCCCAGACUCCUACGGGAGGCAGCAGUGGGGAAUCUUGCGCAAUGGGCGAAAGCCUGACGCAGCGACGCCGCGUGAGGGAUGACGGCCUGGU
rnacentral:rRNA from 1 species